rnacentral:rRNA from 1 species
AGCAGCCGCGGUAAUUCCAGCUCCAAUAGCGUAUAUUAAAGUUGUUGCAGUUAAAAAGCUCGUAGUUGAAUUUCGGGAUCAGUACGCUGGUCGUGCCUUUGGUAUGUACUGGUGUCACUGAUUCCUCCCUUCUGAAGAACCGUUAUGCCAUUUAUUUGGUGUGGCGGGGAAUCAGGACUGUUACUUUGAAAAAUUAGAGUGUUUAAAGCAGGCUCGCGCUUGAAUACAUUAGCAUGGAAUAAUGAAAUAGGACGUUUGAUCUUAUUUUGUUGGUUUCUAGGAUCGACGUAAUGAUUAAUAGGGAUAGUUGGGGGCAUUAGUAUUCAAUUGUCAGAGGUGAAAGUUCUUGGAUUUAUUGAAGACUAACUACUGCGAAAGUAUUUGCCAAGGAUGUUUUCAUUAAUCAAGAACGAAAGUUAGGGGAUCGAAGACGAUCAGAUACCGUCGUAGUCUUAACCAUAAA